AACAAAUAACCCCUUUUACUGGUCAGGACGUGACAGUUAUGCCUACCCCUCUCUAUAAUCAGUGAUGUUAUGCAUACUCCUCUCUAUAAUCUGUCCAGUGAUGUUAAGCCUACCCCUCUCUAUAAUCUGUGAUGUUAGGCCUACCCCUUUCUAUAAUCUGUCCAGUGAUGUUAUGUCUACCCCUCUCUAUAAUCAGUGAUGUUAUGCCAACCCCUCUCUAUAAUCUGUCCAGUGAUGUUAGGCCUUCCCCUCUCUAUAAUCCGUGAUUAUAUGCCUACCCCUCUCUAUAAUCUGUCCAGUGAUGUUAUGCCUUCCCCUCUCUAUAAUCAGGGAUGUUAUGCCUACCCCUCUCUGUAAUCUGUCUGGUAAUGUUAGGCCUUCCCCUCUCUAUAAUCAGUGAUGUUAGGCCUACCCCUCUCUAUAAUCUGUGAUGUUAGGCCUUCCCCUCUCUAUAAUCAGUAAUGUUAGGCCUACCCCUCUCUAUAAUCUGUCCAGUGAUGUUAGGCCUACCCCUCUCUAUAAUCUGUGAUGUUGGGCCUACCCCUCUCUAUAAUCUGUCCAGUGAUGUUAGGCGUUCCCCUCUCUCUAAUCAGUGAUGUUAGGCCUACCCCUCUCUAUAAUCUGUCCAGUGAUGUUAGGCCUAACCCUCUCUGUAAUCUAUCCAGUGAUUGUAGGCCUACCACUCUCUAUUAUCUGUCCAGUGAUUUUAGGCCUACACCUCUCUAUUAUCUGUCCAGUGAUGUUUGGCCUACCCCUCUCUAUAACAU
rnacentral:lncRNA from 1 species